rnacentral:rRNA from 1 species
GAUGAACGCUGGCGGCGUGCCUAAUACAUGCAAGUCGAGCGAACAGACGAUGAUCUUGCUCCGCUGACGUUAGCCGCGGACGGGUGAAUAACACGUGGAUAACCUACCUAUAAGACUGGUAAAACUUCGGGAAACCGGAUCUAAUACCGUAGAAUAUAUUGAACCGCAUUGUGCGAUAGUAAAAUACGGUUUUGCUGUAACUUAUAGAUGGAUCCGCGCCUCAUUAGCUAGUUGGUAAGUUAACAGCUUUCCAAGGGAACCAUGCGUAGACGAAGUGAGGGGGUGGUCGCCCACACGGGAAGUGGACCAGGGUCAAGACUACUACGGGAGGCAGCAGUCGGGAAUGGUCGGCAGUGGGCGAAAGCAUUGCGGAGUAACGCGGAGUGAGUGGUAAAAGCCUUGGGAUCGUAAAGACCUCUUAUGAGGGAAGAACAAAUGUGUAAGUAAAUAUGCCCGUCUUGACGGUAACUAAUCAGAAAGCCCCGGCUAACUACGUG